UGACCGUGCAAAGGUAGCAUAAUCAUUUGUCUUUUAAUUAAAGGCUUGUAUGAAUGGUUGGAUGAGAUAUAAUCUAUUUUUAUUUAAUUAAAAAUGAAUUUUAAUUUUUAGUAAAAAUGCUAAAAUAAAAAAUAUAGACGAGAAGACCCUAUAAAUCUUUAUUAUUUUUUGAUUAAUUUAUUAAUAGAAUAAUAAAUUUAUUAAUUAAAAAAUAAUUUUAUUGGGGUGAUAAUGAAAUUUAAUAAACUUUUAUUUUAUUUUAUAAAUAUAAUUAAUUUAAUGAUCCAUUUUUAAUGAUUAUAAAAUUAAGUUACUUUAGGGAUAACAGCGUAAUUAUUUUAAAGAGUUCAUAUCGAUAAAAUAGUUUGCGACCUCGAUGUUGAAUUAUAGAGUAAGCUGUACCGUGCAGAAGUACAUGGU
rnacentral:rRNA from 1 species